AUUGAACGCUGGCGGCAUGCCUAACACAUGCAAGUCGAGCGGAGCGGCGGACGGGUGAGUAAUGACUAGGUAUCUGCCUGGUAGUGGGGGAUAACGUCCGGAAACGGGCGCUAAUACCACAUCCUAUCAGCUGAGCCUAGGUCGGAUUAGCUAGUUGGUGGGGUAAAGGCCUACCAAGGCGACGAUCCGUAACCGGUCUGAGAGGAUGAUCAGUCACACUGGAACUGAGACACGGUCCAGACUCCUACGGGAGGCAGCAGUGGGGAAUAUUGGACAAUGGGCGAAAGCCUGAUCCAGCCAUGCCGCGUGUGUGAAGAAGGUCUUCGGAUUGUAAAGCACUGUAAGUUGGGAGGCGGUACCAACAGAAUAAGCACCGGCUAACUUCGGGCCAGCAGCCGCGGUAAUAC
rnacentral:rRNA from 1 species